GUGCUCGUGGUGUAGUGGUUAUCACAUCCGCCUAACACGCGGAAGGUCCCAGGUUCGAUCCCUGGCAGGCACA
rnacentral:tRNA from 1 species